GUGUGUUCCAGGUAAAUCCGGUUCACUUUAACACUGAGGCGUGACGACGAGGCACUACGGUGCUGAAGCAACAAAUGCCCUGCUUCCAGGAAAAGCCUCUAAGCAUCAGGUAACAUCAAAUCGUACCCCAAACCGACACAGGUGGUCAGGUAGAGAAUACCAAGGCGCUUGAGAGAACUCGGGUGAAGGAACUAGGCAAAAUGGUGCCGUAACUUCGGGAGAAGGCACGCUGACACGUAGGUGAAGUGAUUUACUCAUGGAGCUGAAGUCAGUCGAAGAUACCAGCUGGCUGCAACUGUUUAUUAAAAACACAGCACUGUGCAAACACGAAAGUGGACGUAUACGGUGUGACGCCUGCCCGGUGCCGGAAGGUUAAUUGAUGGGGUCAGCGCAAGCGAAGCUCCUGAUCGAAGCCCCGGUAAACGGCGGCCGUAACUAUAACGGUCCUAAGGUAGCGAAAUUCCUUGUCGGGUAAGUUCCGACCUGCACGAAUGGCGUAAUGAUGGCCAGGCUGUCUCCACCCGAGACUCAGUGAAAUUGAACUCGCUGUGAAGAUGCAGUGUACCCGCGGCAAGACGGAAAGACCCCGUGAACCUUUACUAUAGCUUGACACUGAACAUUGAGCCUUGAUGUGUAGGAUAGGUGGGAGGCUUUGAAGUGUGGACGCCAGUCUGCAUGGAGCCGACCUUGAAAUACCACCCUUUAAUGUUUGAUGUUCUAACGUGGACCCGUUACCCGGGUUGCGGACAGUGUCUGGUGGGUAGUUUGACUGGGGCGGUCUCCUCCUAAAGAGUAACGGAGGAGCACGAAGGUUGGCUAAUCCUGGUCGGACAUCAGGAGGUUAGUGCAAUGGCAUAAGCCAGCUUGACUGCGAGCGUGACGGCGCGAGCAGGUGCGAAAGCAGGUCAUAGUGAUCCGGUGGUUCUGAAUGGAAGGGCCAUCGCUCAACGGAUAAAAGGUACUCCGGGGAUAACAGGCUGAUACCGCCCAAGAGUUCAUAUCGACGGCGGUGUUUGGCACCUCGAUGUCGGCUCAUCACAUCCUGGGGCUGAAGUAGGUCCCAAGGGUAUGGCUGUUCGCCAUUUAAAGUGGUACGCGAGCUGGGUUUAGAACGUCGUGAGACAGUUCGGUCCCUAUCUGCCGUGGGCGCUGGAGAACUGAGGGGGGCUGCUCCUAGUACGAGAGGACCGGAGUGGACGCAUCACUGGUGUUCGGGUUGUCAUGCCAAUGGCACUGCCCGGUAGCUAAAUGCGGAAGAGAUAAGUGCUGAAAGCAUCUAAGCACGAAACUUGCCCCGAGAUGAGUUCUCCCUGAGACUUAGAGUCUCCUGAAGGAACGUUGAAGACGACGACGUUGAUAGGCCGGGUGUGUA
rnacentral:rRNA from 1 species